UUUCUCUUAGAUUUUCUCUCUUUGGGAUGUGUUGUCUUCUUCAAUUUGGUGUGUUUACAAAUGAACCAUAAGCUACCUAUUUAUAGGAAUGAAUUUCCUAUGAUGAGGUAAGCGCUUACAUCACGACUAUUAUGAGGUAAGCGCUUACAUCACGACUAUGUGAACAAAAGAAUUGACUUGUUUGGCCAAUUCCACACCUAACAGAAACUGGGUACUGCAACUCUACUCUGGUUGUGCCUUGCACAUAAGCAUCAUGGUAAACCUUAUUGAUAUCAUAUCUAAUCAAAUAAUAUUCUACCCUAUUCAGUCAUAAAGUUGCACUAAAUAAAAAAUCAGAAGUAGAUGUAAUUAUGUCCAACAAAAAUGACAUAGUUUAACAUUUGUUCCUGUAAUGCAUGGUUACAAUUUUGAAGAUUUUUCGUCAUGUUUAAUUUGUGCAAGGUUUUCGCUUACUUCGUGAUGUCUUUCGUUAUAUUUCUUACUUGCUAACCUGUUGGACAUUUCGGUUAUGAUUUAACCAUUUAAAGGCUGGUGCUGGUGGGUACAUAUUAUUUUAUGUCAAGCAGUAUUAUCUAAUACUUGGAGAUACGGUGUGGUGUUCUUCUAUAAGGCUCAUUUGGCACGUCCUUACAAGAUAAUGACGACUUAAGUGUAUGGUUCAAAAAGAACAUGUACUGUUUUUGGGAGAGGGCACUGAAGAAAAAGAGUUGAAAGAUACGUAGGUGACACAUUGCUAACUCCGAUGUCUAUUGUCUUUCUUGGAUUCUUUGGCGAGUCAUUUGGCAAAUCUAAUUCCCAUAACACGUGAAAAAUGAAGACUUUGACCGGAUGAAUAGUUAUCCAUUGAUAGACAUCUUUCUUGAGAAAGAUAAUCCUGGAUCGAUGUUUUUUUCAUUCGCUAUGUGCGGAUGUUGUCACUUGUCAUGGAUGUAAGGAUUGUAACAUUUGUAAAUCAUUCAACAUAAUGUUUUCUUCCAAAAUAUAUGUAAAUAAUGUUAACAAUUAGUAUGAUAUGUUGUCUAUAUUUGAUUUCGUAAUUA